GACAGUGAAAAGACACCGGAAGUCCUAGCACAAUGAGAGACUUGAGUACGUGAGCUAACAAGCAGGGACACAGGACAUGGAGUUGAAGGAGGAGCAGCGGGGAUCUGUUGUGAGCUCCGAGGUUGAGCCCUGGAGUCUUUUGAAGAUCUCUGCGAGGAAGUGCUGCCCAUUGGCCCAUUUUACGAAUGAGCAAAGGAAGACUGAAGCUCUAUGGCUGAUCUGCCAGUUCCGGAAUCUAAACCCUUAAACAUAGUGCUUCCCAUGGGGUGGUGCAAUCUGAGAUAAACCAGAUCCGGCCCCUGACUUCAGGCAUGUAAACAAAUAAUUGAACUCUG